rnacentral:rRNA from 1 species
GACGAACGCUGGCGGCGUGCUUAACACAUGCAAGUCGAGCGGUAAGGCCCUUUCGGGGUACGACGAGCGGCGAACGGGUAGGAGUAACACGUGGGUGGACCUCGCCUCCUAGCUCUGGGAGUAAGCCUGGGAAGGCUGGGUCGUAAUACCGGAUAUGACCUCGCGGUGCAUGUUGCGGGGUGGAAAGCCUUGUGCGGCUAGGGAGUGGGCCCGCCGGCCUAUCAGCUUGUUGGUGGGGUGAGGCCUACCAAGGCGACGACGGGUAGCCGGCCUGAGAGGGC